rnacentral:tRNA from 1 species
GCCCUUGUAGUUAAACGGAUAUAACAGACCCCUCCUAAGGGCCAAUUAUCAGUUCGAUUCUGGUCAAGGGCG